UCAUCGUGCUCAUCUCCUCCUCCUCCUUUCUGCCGAUUGUGGAGGUCUUCUCUGCUUCCUCCUUUCCAUUUUUUAUUCUCCAGCAAGCCCUUGUAGUCCCUUUCCAUUUCUUCCCCAUUUCUAGUUUUCUUUGAUUUAAAGCCUCUUUAUUUUUUUUUUUAUGUUUAUUUAUGUAGCUUUCAAUAUCCUUUCCAUCGACCAUCACUCUCCUCUCAUCUGCUUGUCCUUUCUCUCCUAAUUGGCCAGCGCUCUCCUCUGUGAUUUUAGGAGUUCUUAUGGUCUCAGUAUCAGCAACAAUUCUCCUUUCGCAUAAGCAAGUCACAGGUAGCAGAGAGUAGGUGAAGAUUUACAGCACUCAAAGGAGCUAGCUGAAGAUGCAAUCCAAAGCCUAUUUGGCAGGCUGGAGUGAGCCACGGAAUCAAUCUUCUAGUUAGUAUCCGAGUUGUAGAAAUAAUUCCGAUGCUUAUCUCCUUCAGCACAACAAAAUACCCAUCUCAUUCCCAGAAUAUGUUUGAGAAUAGCAUUUGCUAUUGAAUCCAUACUCAAAGCUUGUAAAUCAAAUUGUGUUGAUCUUAGUCCCAAGCUUCAGAUGGUUUCUUGACCUGCAUAUUUAAAUGGGUAGCUUGGAACUCGUAUCAAGAUCUUUACCAUUUGCUACUCCAAGCAUAUAAUGAGUUGAAGAGGCUCUCGAGAAAUGCAUUUGAAGCACUGAGGAGGGAGGCCAAUUGGAGGUAAUGCAGGAACUGAAUCAUCAAUCUUCUUCAUCUGUUAAAUAUUGUUUAGUCUUAAUUAUUGCUUAUUCAUUAAUAUUAUGUAAAUGACCUUGUUCAUAUUCCUUGCUGCUACUCUGACCAAAUUGGUGAUUAAUUUCUUUAUUGCUUAUUGCUA